UGGGGAAUAUUGCGCAAUGGGCGAAAGCCUGACGCAGCGACGCCGCGUGAGGGAUGAAGGUUUUCGGAUCGUAAACCUCUGUCGGAAGGGAAGAAGGCGCACCGUGCCAAUCAGCGGUGUGUUGACGGUACCUUCAAAGGAAGCGCCGGCUAACUCCGUGCCAGCAGCCGCGGUAAUACGGAGGGCGCAAGCGUUAAUCGGAAUUACUGGGCGUAAAGCGCGCGUAGGCUGUUUCGUAAGUCAGGGGUGAAAUCCCACGGCUCAACCGUGGAACUGCCCUUGAUACUGCGGGACUUGAAUCCGGGAGAGGGUGGCGGAAUUCCAGGUGUAGGAGUGAAAUCCGUAGAUAUCUGGAGGAACACAGUGGCGAAGGCGGCCACCUGGCCCGGUAUUGACGCUGAGGUGCGAAAGCGUGGGGAGCAAACAGGAUUAGAUACC
rnacentral:rRNA from 1 species